UAAUACGUAGGGGGCGAGCGUUGUCCGGAAUUAUUGGGCGUAAAGGGCGCGUAGGUGGCCGAGUAAGUUAUCUGUGAAAUCCCAUGUUUUAAGCAUGGACGUGCAGGUAAAACUGCUUGGCUUGAGUGCAGGAGAGGGAAGCGGAAUUCCAAGUGUAGCGGUGAAAUGCGUAGAGAUUUGGAGGAACACCAGUGGCGAAGGCGGCUUUCUGGACUGUAACUGACACUGAGGCGCGAAAGCGUGGGGAGCAAACAGG
rnacentral:rRNA from 1 species